ACGGAGUUAGCUUAAUGGCUAGAGCACCUCAUUUCCACAAUUCAUAGAGAGGUUAUAUUGGUUCGAAUCCUUUACUCCGUA
rnacentral:tRNA from 1 species